UAUAUAUCGAGUGCAUAUAUAUGAAUGUGUAUCUAUAGAUACAAAACCUAUAUAUAUAUUUAAUUACUUCGAUAUAUAUAGAUGUAGUCAACCAAUAGUGAACAAAGAACAUGAAGGCAAGAAAUAGAGUGACGUCUAGGUGGCCGGCGACAGCACAUAUUUCUGGAAUAGCGAUGAAGACGAUGUUCUAAAUUAGUGUUGCAACCUUCUUGAAGGCGUCGCGUUGGAAGUUCCAUCUUAAUUGGUGAGGCAUCCUUAUGGCGGUAUCAUAACCGGUUGGAUUUCAUCGCAAUGGUGGCGGCAUGAUAUGGACAAACGACUGAUUUACCACUUAGUUACUCUUGGAUGAUACAUUCCGCUUUGGUUCAACAUUAAUCAUUGGAGAUGCUGGGAGUGGAAUUUGAUCGACAAUAUAAUCAGACUAUGAUUUCGAAGAUUCUACCUUCUUGUUUAAGUAACACAAGGAGUACAUGCAACUAGUAAGUCGCUGAUAGAAACAGCUACAAUGGAAAUUUAUGAUGGUAUACUAAUUAUUUUAAUUCGCAGCUGUUCAUCCUACAGUCUCUAUAA